AUCACAUUGCUCUGUGGCCCCAUAAUCUCCUUGAUCAGAAAACUUGGGACACAACUGAACUAUAUGAUGUUACAGUACAGG